rnacentral:rRNA from 1 species
AACGUAGGGGACAAGCGUUAUCCGGAUUUACUGGGCGUAAAGCGCCCGUAGGCGGCCUGACAAGUUGGACGUGAAAGCUCCUGGCUUAACUGGGAGAGGCCGUUCAAAACUGUCAAGCUAGAGUCUGGAAGAGGAGAGCGGAAUUCCCGGUGUAGUGGUGGAAUGCGUAGAGAUCGGGAGGAACACCAGUGGCGAAAGCGGCUCUCUGGUCCAAAACUGACGCUGAGGGCGAAAGCGUGGGGAGCGAACGGG